rnacentral:rRNA from 1 species
AGCAGGCGCGCAAAUUACCCAAUCCCGACACGGGGAGGUAGUGACAAUAAAUAACAAUACGGGGUUCUUUNGGAUCUCGUAAUUGGAAUGAGUACAAUUUAAAUCUCUUAACGAGGAACAAUUGGAGGGCAAGUCUGGUGCCAGCAGCCGCGGUAAUUCCAGCUCCAAUAGCGUAUAUUAAAGUUGUUGCAGUUAAAAAGCUCGUAGUUGAAUUUCGGGGNNAGNNNNNNNGUCAUGCCUCUGGUAUGUACUGGUCUCACUGAUUCCUCCUUCCUGAUGAACCGUAAUGCCAUUAAUUUGGUGUUGCGGGGAAUUUGGACUGUUACUUUGAAAAAAUUAGAGUGUUUAAAGCAAGCUAACGCUUGAAUACAUUAGCAUGGAAUAAUGAAAUAGGACGUUCGAUCCUAUUUUGUUGGUUUCUAGGAUUGACGUAAUGAUUAAUAGGGAUAGUUGGGGGCAUUAGUAUUCAAUUGUCAGAGGUGAAAUUCUUGGAUUUAUUGAAGACUAACUACUGCGAAAGCAUUUGCCAAGGAUGUUUUCAUUAAUCAAGAACGAAAGUUAGGGGAUCGAAGACGAUCAGAUACCGUCGUAGUCUUAACCAUAAACUAUGCCGACUAGGGAUCGGACGAUGUUAAUUUUUUAAUGACUCAUUCGGCGCCUUACGGGAAACCAAAGUGUUUGGGUUCA